UGCAUCGGCCGGGAAUCGAACCCUGGCCGGCCGCGUGGCAGGCGAGCAUUCUACCACUGAACCACCGAUGC
rnacentral:tRNA from 1 species